CAGUCGCCGCGGGAAUACGAAGGGGGCUAGCGUUGUUCGGAUUUACUGGGCGUAAAGCGCACGUAGGCGGACUUUUAAGUCAGGGGUGAAAUCCCGGGGCUCAACCCCGGAACUGCCUUUGAUACUGGAAGUCUUGAGUAUGGUAGAGGUGAGUGGAAUUCCGAGUGUAGAGGUGAAAUUCGUAGAUAUUCGGAGGAACACCAGUGGCGAAGGCGGCUCACUGGACCAUUACUGACGCUGAGGUGCGAAAGCGUGGGGAGCAAACAGGAUUAGAUACCCCCGUAGUCCCUGUCUCUUAUAC
rnacentral:rRNA from 1 species